AGUCGUGUGGCCUAAUGGUUAUGGCGUCUCGCUCACACUUCGAGGUCCGAGAAGGUUCCCGGUUCGAUCCCGGGCAUGACUA